AAGAUGAACCGGCAAUGGAUGUACGGUGACAGACACACCUCCGAGUACAUUAAGGGCGUGCAUGAUUUUCUCGAAGUGGCUGAGGCAAACAAGCAGAAUGGUUUUAUGUGUUGUCCAUGCCCUACAUGUGGGAAUACGAAGUCUUACUCUGACCGGAAAAUCCUUCAUGCCCACCUGCUUUACAAGGGUUUCAUGCCACACUAUAAUGUUUGGACGAGGCACGGAGAAAUGGGGGUUAUGAUGGAAGACGGCGAAGAAGAAGAGGACGAUGACAACUAUGUGCCCCCUGAAUACGGUGAUGCUGCAACGGGGGAAGCUGCUGAAGAUCAAGAGGAACCAGACGAUGUGCCCAAUGAUGCUGCAAGGGGGGAAGCUGCUGAAGAUGAAGAGGAACCAGUGCCCGAUGAUGAUGAUCUCCGCCGGGUCAUUGUCGAUGCAAGGACGCAAUGCGAAAGUCAAAAGGAGAAGCUGAAGUUCGAUCGCAUGUUAGAGGAUCACACAAAAGGGUUGUACCCCAAUUGCGAAGAUGGCAACACAAAGCUCGGUACCGUACUGGAAUUGCUGCAGUGGAAGGCAGAGAAUGUUGUGCCUGACAAAGGAUUUGAGAAGCUAUUGAAAAUAUUGAAGAAGAAGCUUCCAAAGGAUAACGAAUUGCCCAACAGUACAUACGCAGCAAAGAAGGUCGUAUGCCCUCUAGGAUUGGAGGUGCAGAAGAUACAUGCAUGCCCUAAUGACUGCAUCCUCUACCGCGGUGCGUACAAGGAUCUGAACGCAUGCCCGGUAUGCGGUGCAUUGCGGUAUAAGAUCAGACGAGAUGACCCUGGUGAUGUUGACGGCGAGCCCCCCAGGAAGAGGGUUCCUGCGAAGGUGAUGUGGUAUGCUCCUAUAAUACCACGGUUGAAACGUCUGUUCAGAAACGAAGAGCAUGGCAAGUUGAUGCGAUGGCACAGUGAGGACCGUAAGAAAGACGGGAAGUUGAGAGCACCCACUGACGGGUCGCAGUGGAGAAAAAUCGAGAGAAAGUACUGGGCUGAGUUUGCAGCUGACCCAAGGAACGUAUGGUUCGGUUUAAGCGCGGAUGGCAUUAAUCCUUUCGGGGAGCAGAGCAGCAACCACAGCACCUGGCCCGUGACUCUAUGUAUGUAUAACCUUCCUCCUUGGAUGUGCAUGAAGCGGAAGUUCAUUAUGAUGCCAGUUCUCAUCCAAGGCCCUAAGCAACCCGGCAACGACAUUGAUGUGUACCUAAGGCCAUUAGUUAAAGAACUUUUACAGCUGUGGAAUGGAAACGGUGUACGUACGUGGGAUGAGCACAAACAGGAGGAAUUUAACCUGCACGCGUUGCUGUUUGUAACCAUCAACGAUUGGCCCGCUCUCAGUAACCUUUCAGGACAGACAAACAAGGGAUACCAC
rnacentral:rRNA from 1 species